rnacentral:rRNA from 1 species
CCUACGGGCGACAGCAGUGAGGAAUAUUGGUCAAUGGGCGAGAGCCUGAACCAGCCAAGUCGCGUGAGGGAGUACUGCCCUAUGGGUUGUAAACCUCUUUUGUCGGGGAGCAAAAGCCGGACGUGUCCGGCUGUGAGAGUACCCGAAGAAAAAGCAUCGGCUAACUCCGUGCCAGCAGCCGCGGUAAUACGGAGGAUGCGAGCGUUAUCCGGAUUUAUUGGGUUUAAAGGGUGCGCAGGCGGAGUUUUAAGUCAGCGGUAAAAUCGUGGGGCUCAACCCAAUCCAGCCGUUGAAACUGGGGAUCUAGAGUGUGCGAGAGGUAUGCGGAAUGCGUGGUGUAGCGGUGAAAUGCAUAGAUAUCACGCAGAACCCCGAUUGCGAAGGCAGCAUACCGGUGCACAACUGACGCUCAGGCACGAAAGCGUGGGUAUCGAACAGGAUUAGAUACCCCAGUAGUC